UAUUGGAUAACCAUCGUCACCAUCCAUUUCUAGAAUAUUUUCAUCUUCUUAAUCUGAAACUCUAUACCCACUAAAUAUAACUCCCCAUUCCAUUCCCCCAUCCUUUCUUUUUUUAACUGAAAUUUCCAGUUUUGCAUUUUUGGGGUGUGAGUAUAUAUGUAUGUGCUUUGCUGAGAAUUUAACUGCAGGCCUCAUGCUGGCUAGUCAAGCACUCUACUACUAAGCUGCCCUUAAAAUUCCCAGUUUUUAAACUUGCUGACAGAAUAUUUUUUGGAUAGGUUUCUACCCUUCACUCCAUCCUGUUACAAACCUCAUACAGGUCCCAGCUGUGUGUGUGAACUUGAGACCAUUUUUGUGUUUCUACAGGGACCCAUUCACUUCACUACCACUACCUAACCCUAUCAGAGCCAUACCCAGGCCUCCCGAAGUUUCUGGCUGUGGGCUAUGUGGACGACCAGCCCUUCAUCUGGUACACACAGUGCUCAGCGCAUGUUUGGCUGUGAGAUCCAGGAAGAUGGCAGGUCCAGCAGCUUCUGGCAAUUUGGCUUCAAUGGACAGGACCACCUGUCUCUGGACCUAGAGACACUGAGCUGGGUGUCAGCAGAGCCAGUGGCUGUGCGGACCAAGCGCUGGUGGGAGAUGGAGCGCUGCUAUGCAGAGUACGACAAGGCCUACCUGGAAAGCCUCUGCCUCAUCUCCCUGCACAGGUAUCUGGAGCUGGAAAGCCAGAGCCUCACUCAGAUAGAGCCUCCCAUGGUGCAGGUGACAAAGCACACCACCCAGGAUGGGACCAUGCUGAGAUGCUGGGCCUUGGGCUUCUACCCACCAGACAUCUCACUGAGCUGGUGGCUGGGUAGGAAGGAGCUGGUCCUGGAGACUGAGCAUGUGGAGACACGCCCCAGUGGGGAUGGCACUUAUCAGACAUGAACAUCAGUUCGGGUGCCAGCUGGGAAGGAGGCCUGGUAUACCUGCCACGUGCAGCACCCUGGCCUGAAGCACACCCUCACUGUGGCAUGGGACUCAUCCUCUAUUGGCAAUGACAGUGGCAAUGGCACACUACUUGGUGGGGUCACGGUCCUGGUCUUUGUUGGGCUGGUAGCUGUAAUUGUGAUACUGAAAAAGAGGUGUCUUCAAGUGGAUAAUGGACUCAUGGAGGAGCCUCCUCUGCCUCUUCUUCAUCAUGUUUGUCCUCUAGCUAGGAGCCUACCGGAUCCACAGGACCCAUGACAGAGCCUUCUUACAAGAACUUCUGAAACUUCUGUGUUCUACUUCUCUGGGAAACCAAAGCCCAAGAAUGUGAAAGACUUUGAUACUACAAAAAAUUUUCCAGCCUGUGCUGUGGCCUGCAGGGCCUCAACAGUGAGCUAGUAAUUUAGAUCAUAUUGAAGAAUGGCACUUAAAUGUCUGUCUCAGUGACACCAAGGUUUUCUAUGUGUAUUAUCAAGCAAGGUUCUAAGCACUUUACUUUCAUUAAGCUGUUUAAUCCUCCUAACAUGCAUAUGUGGAAGAAUAAUCCUGUGCUGUGGGUGAAAAACCUGAGGUCCAGAGAGGGUGAGCCAUAGGCAGAGCUGUAAUGAGACCAGGCAGUCUGACUGCCAUCUGUGUGAUUCACCACUGCACCAAGUCUCAACGACAACUAUGCUGUUCUGUAAAUGUGCAGUUAAGUACAGGUCUCCAAUCCUUUACCUGCAAUUCUAAAAUGCAAAAACAUCCAAAAGCCAAGGGUUUUUUCCUAAUUUGGGCAUCAAACCUGACCCAAACUGAAGUGAGAUCAUUUAUACCCUUAAUUUCUUCUAGUGUGCCUUUUUGCAAUUCUCUACUGAAAUGUUAAUAUAUUCAACAUCUGCCAGAUAGAAUCCUUUCUAAUAUGCAAGGAAUUAUAAAUACAUCUGACCCAAAGGUUUCAGGUAAGGGAUUAUGGACCUGUAUUAAUAAAGUUUUACAGUAAUAAACAUGUUUUAUUUUCACUGAUAAAAA